rnacentral:precursor_RNA from 15 species
AUAUAUUAAUUCCCCUUUGACCUGAACGUCACCCCUAACCCUAUGCAGUAUUUGGAGCUCAUAAAAUACUGGAAGUGUUUAGGAGUAAUGCUCAGUUGUCAGAAUUUGUGAAACUUAU